AUUGAACGCUGGCGACAUGCUUUACACACGCAAGUCGAGCGGUAACAGGGAGCUUGCUCCGCUGACGAGUGGCGAACGGGUGAGUAAUAUAUCGGAACGUACCCAAGAGUGGGGGAUAACGUAGCGAAAGUUACGCUAAUACCGCAUACGAUCUAAGGAUGAAAGCAGGGGACCUUCGGGCCUUGUGCUCCUGGAGCGGCCGAUAUCUGAUUAGCUAGUUGGUGAGGUAAAGGCUCGCCAAGGCGACGAUCAGUAGCUGGUCUGAGAGGACGACCAGCCACACUGGAACUGAGACACGGUCCAGACUCCUACGGGAGGCAGCAGUGGGGAAUUUUGGACAAUGGGCGCAAGCCUGAUCCAGCAAUGCCGCGUGAGUGAAGAAGGCCUUCGGGUUGUAAAGCUCUUUUGUCAGGGAAGAAACGGGAGUGGCUAAUAUCCAAUCCUAAUGACGGUACCUGAAGAAUAAGCACCGGCUAACUACGUGCCAGCCGCCGCCGUAACAC
rnacentral:rRNA from 1 species